AGAUUGAACGCUGGCGGCAGGCCUAACACAUGCAAGUCGAGCGGUAGAGAGGUGCUUGCACCUCUUGAGAGCGGCGGACGGGUGAGUAAUGCCUAGGAAUCUGCCUAGUGGUGGGGGAUAACGUUCGGAAACGGACGCUAAUACCGCAUACGUCCUACGGGAGAAAGGCGGGGGACCUUCGGGCCUCGCGCCAUUAGAUGAGCCUAGGUCGGAUUAGCUAGUUGGUGAGGUAAUGGCUCACCAAGGCGACGAUCCGUAACUGGUCUGA
rnacentral:rRNA from 1 species